AGUCACUGACAUUAGAUACCCGGGUAGUCCCAGCCGUAAACUAUGCGCGUUAGGUGUACUGGUGACCACGAGUCACCGGGUGCCGAAGAGAAACCGUGAAACGUGUCGCCUGGGAAGUACGGUCGCAAGGCUGAAACUUAAAGGAAUUGGCGGGGGAGCACCACAACACGUGGAGCCUGCGGUUUAAUUGGAUUCAACGCCGGACAUCUCACCAGAGGCGACAGCUGUAUGAUAGCCAGGUUGAUGACUUUGCUUGACUAGCUG
rnacentral:rRNA from 1 species